rnacentral:rRNA from 1 species
UACGUAGGGCGCAAGCGUUAUCCGGAAUUAUUGGGCGUAAAGAGCUCGUAGGCGGUUUGUCGCGUCGACUGUGAAAACCCGCGGCUCAACUGCGGGCUUGCAGUCGAUACGGGCAGGCUAGAGUUCGGUAGGGGAGACUGGAAUUCCUGGUGUAGCGGUGAAAUGCGCAGAUAUCUGGAGGAACACCGGUGGCGAAGGCGGCAUCCUGGACCGGCAUUGACGCUGAGGCGCGAAAGCCAGGGGAGCAAACGGG